AAAGAACCCCGGCGAGGGGAGUGAAAAAGAACCUGAAACCGUGUACGUACAAGCAGUGGGAGCACCUUCGGGUGUGACUGCGUACCUUUUGUAUAAUGGGUCAGCGACUUAUAUUCUGUAGCAAGGUUAACCGUAUAGGGGAGCCGCAGGGAAACCGAGUCUUAACUGGGCGUUAAGUUGCAGGGUAUAGACCCGAAACCCGGUGAUCUAGCCAUGGGCAGGUUGAAGGUUGGGUAACACUAACUGGAGGACCGAACCGACUAAUGUUGAAAAAUUAGCGGAUGACUUGUGGCUGGGGGUGAAAGGCCAAUCAAACCGGGAGAUAGCUGGUUCUCCCCGAAAGCU
rnacentral:rRNA from 1 species